rnacentral:tRNA from 2 species
AGGGGUGUAGCUCAACUGGCUAGAGCACCGGUCUCCAAAACCGGGGGUUGGGGGUUCGACUCCCUCCGCCCCUGCCA